rnacentral:lncRNA from 1 species
GUCUAUUCUCCUCUUCACGUUUGUGACUGCAGCUUCAACUGAAACAACUUUGUCAGUUACUGCAACCACAAGUCAAACAACUCCUUCGGCCAACGAUGCCAGCUUCACGACCACUGCACCGUCGAAAAGGUAACAGACAAGCAGAAGACAUCUAUGAAAAACCAGAGGACACAGCACAGGUAAGGAAGACAACAGAUUUCCCAUAUGGUACCUGAAUCCCCUACCAAUAGUCUGGGAGGAGCUAGCUGGCCCAUGUGGUAAGAAACUUCAUGUUCUUUUUUGGUUUUGAGC